rnacentral:rRNA from 1 species
AUUGAACGCUGGCGGCAGGCCUAACACAUGCAAGUCGAACGGUAACAGGAAGCAGCUUGCUGCUUUGCUGACGAGUGGCGGACGGGUGAGUAAUGUCUGGGAAACUGCCUGAUGGAGGGGGAUAACUACUGGAAACGGUAGCUAAUACCGCAUAACGUCGCAAGACCAAAGAGGGGGACCUUCGGGCCUCUUGCCAUCGGAUGUGCCCAGAUGGGAUUAGCUAGUAGGUGGGGUAACGGCUCACCUAGGCGACGAUCCCUAGCUGGUCUGAGAGGAUGACAAGCAAGCAGGGAAGUGAAACACGGACCAGACGCCUACGGGAUGCAGAAGUGGGGAAUAUAGGAAAAGGGCCGCAGGCCUGAAGAAGCCAUGCCGCGUGGAGGAAGAGGGCUUUGGGGUUGUAAAGUACUUUCAGCGGGGAGGAAGGGAGAAAAGUUAAUACCUUUGCUCAUGGCGGUACCCGGAAAAGGAGGCACCGGCAAUCCCGGUG